AGGCUACAGACAUCGGUUCGUGCCGGUAGCAUUCACCAUCUAAGCCAGUAACCUACAUUCCGGCAGCCGGCUCCUUAAUCUCCCACUGCCACACUGGACUGGGGAACCUUCCUGAACAACGGAGAGUCUUGCAACUGUCUACGGGACAGGUCGCUGGAUCUGACUCCUCCUCUUCGCGCACUGCAUGCCGUAUUAUGAGUGGUGACGUGCACCUCACCAUUUGCAUUGAUCCCUUUUUGCAGUGCCUGUGCUGUGUUGUGUGCAGGACGUGUGAGUAGGCACCAGAAUCAAGAGCACGGGUGGCGUGUCGGUCUCACUCCUUUUCCAGGACGGGUAACCCCCUGCAACAACUGCUCCCUAUAAACCCCAUCAGUGUCCCCUACCAUUCUGGUGGCAGCCAUUAUCCUCCCUCUUGCCGUAUUCCAUAUUUUAUUGUGAUUUAGCCAUGUUUAAAUAAAUAUAAAUUUUUCUAUUCUUAUACCA
rnacentral:lncRNA from 1 species